rnacentral:rRNA from 1 species
GAUGAACGCUGGCGGCGUGCCUAAUACAUGCAAGUCGAGCGAACAGACGAGGCGCUUGCUUCUCUGACGUUAGCGGCGGACGGGUGAGUAACACGUGGAUAACCUACCUAUAAGACUGGGAUCACUUCGGGAAACCGGAGAUAAUACCGGAUAAUAUAUUGAACCGCAUGGUUCAAUAGUGAAAGCCGGUUUUGCUGUCACUUAUAGAUGGAUCCGCGCCGCAUUAGCUAGUUGGUAAGGUAACGGCUUACCAAGGCAACGAUGCGUAGCCGACCUGAGAGGGUGAUCGGCCACACUGGAACUGAGACACGGUCCAGACUCCUACGGGAGGCAGCAGUAGGGAAUCUUCCGCAAUGGGCGAAAGCCUGACGGAGCAACGCCGCGUGAGUGAUGAAGGUCUUCGGAUCGUAAAACUCUGUUAUUAGGGAAGAACAAAUGUGUAAGUAACUAUGCACGUCUUGACGGUACCUAAUCAGAAAGCCACGGCUAACUACGUG